AAUUAACUAAGCUAAACUGAUGAGAUGAUGCUAUAAUUAACCUUUUCGAUGAUCUCGAUCGAUCUCUACCGGAUAAAUAUGUCCUCUAAAAUUAAGCCUCGUCACGUGGUACUAGCGAAGAUGAAGCUGUGUUUUGAUUAAAAAAAAAACAUUUGAGCUUCUUGUGUUAUCGUGAAUGGCUGAGACAAAGAGGACAAAUUGUCCAGAUAGCUAGUAGAAGCUUGUUUUUUCAGCUUCACGUGCGACGCACAAGAGAGCAUCUAUAGGAGGUCCACGCGAGAAGCGGUAUAAACACCAGGCCAAGUUGGACAAGCCAAGCAUCUCUAUACCAUUCCUGUACUAGUUGGUAUAUCCGGCGAGAAGAAGAGUCUCCAUCCCAUACUAGCCUCCAAGCCAGCCAUUCUGGCUAACAUUAGUAUCGGCCAAAACUCAAUAAGUAGCAUACUUCUUUGAUGUUCGGUUUUAAGAACUUGUUAAAUCAUAUUUACUAUAUAUUAAAUUCAAGUUUAUGUAAUUCAAACAUAAUUAUAGCUAAUAUCAUGCGUACAUAUAUCAUAUAUAAUUAUUUACAUAACUAUUACUUUAUUAACGCUUGACUUGAAACGGUACAAGGGCAUAGGUUUGAAGGGAAAAAAAAACAAAAGAAAACAGUCAGUGAAAUGGUGUCCUUUAAAAA